rnacentral:rRNA from 1 species
CGUGAGAUGUGGUUAAGUCCCGCAACGAGCGCAACCCUAUUGUUAGUUGCCAUCAUUCAGUUGGCACUCUAGCGAGACUGCCGGUAAUAAACCGGAGGAAGGUGGGGAUGACGUCAAAUCAUCAUGCCCCUUAUGACCUGGGCUACACACGUGCUACAAUGGUUGGUACAACGAGUUGCGAGUCGGUGACGGCGAGCUAAUCUCUUAAAGCCAAUCUCAGUUCGGAUUGUAGGCUGCAACUCGCCUACAUGAAGUCGGAAUCGCUAGUAAUCGCGGAUCAGCACGCCGCGGUGAAUACGUUCCCGGGCCUU